rnacentral:rRNA from 2 species
GGAAGCAGCUUGCUGCUUCGCUGACGAGUGGCGGACGGGUGAGUAAUGUCUGGGAAACUGCCUGAUGGAGGGGGAUAACUACUGGAAACGGUGGCUAAUACCGCAUAACGUCGCAAGACCAAAGAGGGGGACCUUCGGGCCUCUUGCCAUCAGAUGUGCCCAGAUGGGAUUAGCUUGUUGGUGAGGUAACGGCUCACCAAGGCGACGAUCCCUAGCUGGUCUGAGAGGAUGACCAGCCACACUGGAACUGAGACACGGUCCAGACUCCUACGGGAGGCAGCAGUGGGGAAUAUUGCACAAUGGGCGCAAGCCUGAUGCAGCCAUGCCGCGUGUAUGAAGAAGGCCUUCGGGUUGUAAAGUACUU